CCCUUAGAGUUUGAUCCUGGCUCAGAACGAACGUUGGCGGCGUGGAUUAGGCAUGCAAGUCGAGCGAGGACUGUCCUUGUAGCAAUACAAGGGCAGAGCCGAGCGGCGAAAGGGGCAGUAAGGCAUGGGUAACCUACCCCGGGGAUCGGGAUAGCCAUUCUAACGAGUGGGUAAUACCGGGCGAUUUGACGGAGUCGCAUGGCUCUGUCAGGAAAUGAAUUUCGCCUCGGGAGGGGCUCAUGUGGUAUUAGCUAGUUGGUAGGGUAAUGGCCUACCAAGGCGAAGAUGCCUAGCUGGUGUGAGAGCACGACCAGCGCCACUGGCACUGAGACACUGGCCAGACACCUACGGGUGGCUGCAGUCGAGAAUCUUCGGCAAUGGGCGCAAGCCUGACCGAGCGACGCCGCGUGUGCGAUGAAGGCCUUCGGGUUGUAAAGCACUGUCAGGGGGGAUAAAUCAAUGAUAGAUCCCCAGAGGAAGCACGGGCUAAGUUCGUGCCAGCAGCCGCGGUAAGACGAACCGUGCGAACGUUGUUCGGAAUCACUGGGCUUAAAGGGCGCGUAGGCGGUUUACCAAGUCGGGGGUGAAAUCUUUCGGCUCAACCGGAAAAGGGCCUUCGAUACUGGUAAACUUGAGUGAGGUAGGGGCAGAUGGAACUUCCGGUGGAGCGGUGAAAUGUGUUGAUAUCGGAAGAACGCCGGUGGCGAAAGCGAUCUGCUGGACUCUUCUGACGCUGAGCGCGAAAGCAGGGAGC
rnacentral:rRNA from 1 species